rnacentral:rRNA from 1 species
UACGGGGGGGGCAAGCGUUGUUCGGAAUUACUGGGCGUAAAGGGCUCGUAGGUGGCCAACUAAGUCAGACGUGAAAUCCCUCGGCUUAACCGGGGAACUGCGUCUGAUACUGGAUGGCUUGAGUUCGGGAGAGGGAUGCGGAAUUCCAGGUGUAGCGGUGAAAUGCGUAGAUAUCUGGAGGAACACCGGUGGCGAAGGCGGCAUCCUGGACCGACACUGACGCUGAGGAGCGAAAGCCAGGGGAGCAAAUGGG